UUUAGGAUCAGACCUUGUUUUUGUAAGGGAUUAAAUGAACAAAUCUUAUGUAUGAUUUAGUUUUUGAGGGAUGCUCUUGUGUACCUGGUGGCGGGGGCGGCCCACGAUGGAGGGAAGACGGCUCUGGGAGCAUCGUCUCCAGCGAAGCCAGUCUUCACCAGGCCGGAGCCGUUGUCACAGACGAGGGCGGUGGUCUCUUCAUCGUCACACAUGUCUGCGGCUUCUGGAGGAGGAAAUGAGGAGGUGUGUCUGGGUCCUGUUAAUACUUAAAUCUGAACAACGUGCAACAACGCACAGUUAGAGGACUGUAAGAGGCAAACCGAGGGGAAGUAAAAGGUGAGCCGCUUCUUGAAGUUUCCUGAGCUGCCAUGUGUGCUCAGAGACUUUCAGAGAUCCUGUGUCUCUGAGCUGCAACCACAGCUUCUGUUCGAGCUGCCUGCAGACAUUCUGGGAACAAAGUAAGA